rnacentral:rRNA from 1 species
CCUACGGGAGGCAGCAGUCGAGAAUUUUUCUCAAUGGGCGCAAGCCUGAAGGAGCGACGCCGCGUGUGGGAUGAAGGGUUUCGAUCCGUAAACCACUGUCAUUUGUGAACAAUGCUCACCCGUGAACAACGGGUGAGUUGAUAGUAAUGAAAGAGGAAGGGACGGCUAACUCUGUGCCAGCAGCCGCGGUAAUACAGAGGUCCCGAGCGUUGUUCGGAUUCACUGGGCGUAAAGGGUGCGUAGGUGGCUUAGAAAGUCUGAUGUGAAAGCUCAGGGCUUAACCCUGAAAUGGCAUUGAAUACUGCUGAGCUGGAGGUUUGGAGGGGGGACUGGAAUUCUCGGUGUAGCAGUGAAAUGCGUAGAUAUCGAGAGGAACACCAGUGGCGAAGGCGAGUCCCUGGACAACACCUGACACUGAGGCACGAAAGCCGGGGGAGCAAACAGGAUUAGAUACCCUGGUAGUCCCGGCCCUAAACGGUGCGCAUUUGCUGUAGGAGGAAUCGACCCCUUCUGUGGCGAAGCUAACGCGAUAAAUGCGCCGCCUGGGGAGUACGGUCGCAAGAUUAAAACUCAAAGAAAUUGACGGGGGCCUGCACAAGCGGUGGAGUAUGUGGCUUAAUUCGAUGCAACGCGAAGAACCUUACCUGGCCUUGACAUGCACGUGGUAGGACCGUGAAAGCGGAACGACCCCGCAAGGGGAGCGUGCACAGGUGCUGCAUGGCUGUCGUCAGCUCGUGUCGUGAGAUGUUGGGUUAAGUCCCGCAACGAGCGCAACCCCUAUGUCCUGUUGCCACCCGAUCGAGAGAUUGGAGCACUCUGGACAGACUGCCUCGCUUAACGGGGAGGAGGUGGGGAUGACGUCAAGUCAGUAUGGCCCUUACGGCCAGGGCUGCACACGUACUACAUGCCCGGCACAAAGGGAGCAGACCGUCAGUGAGCAAAUCCCAGAAACGGCCCAGUUCAGAUGCGUCUGCACUCGACGGCAUGAGUGGAUCGCUAGUAUGGCGCAUCAGCUACGGCCGGUGAAUACGUUCCGGG